AGAGUUUGAUCCUGGCUCAGAUUGAACGCUGGCGGCAUGCCUUACACAUGCAAGUCGAACGGCAGCACGAGAGCUUGCUCUUGGUGGCGAGUGGCGAACGGGUGAGUAAUAUAUCGGAACGUACCCUAGAGUGGGGGAUAACGUAGCGAAAGUUACGCUAAUACCGCAUACAAUCUACGGAUGAAAGUGGGGGAUCGCAAGACCUCAUGCUCAUGGAGCGGCCGAUAUCUGAUUAGCUAGUUGGUGGGGUAAAAGCUCACCAAGGCGACGAUCAGUAGCUGGUCUGAGAGGACGACCAGCCACACUGGAACUGAGACACGGUCCAGACUCCUACGGGAGGCAGCAGUGGGGAAUUUUGGACAAUGGGCGCAAGCCUGAUCCAGCAAUGCCGCGUGAGUGAAGAAGGCCUUCGGGUUGUAAAGCUCUUUUGUCAGGGAAGAAACGGUGGACUCUAAUACAGAUCACUAAUGACGGUACCUGAAGAAUAAGCACCGGCUAACUACGUGCCAGCAGCCGCGGUAAUACGUAGGGUGCAAGCGUUAAUCGGAAUUACUGGGCGUAAAGCGUGCGCAGGCGGUUGUGCAAGACAGAUGUGAAAUCCCCGGGCUCAACCUGGGAAUUGCAUUUGUGACUGCACGGCUAGAGUGUGUCAGAGGGGGGUAGAAUUCCACGUGUAGCAGUGAAAUGCGUAGAGAUGUGGAGGAAUACCGAUGGCGAAGGCAGCCCCCUGGGAUAACACUGACGCUCAUGCACGAAAGCGUGGGGAGCAAACAGGAUUAGAUACCCUGGUAGUCCACGCCCUAAACGAUGUCUACUAGUUGUCGGGUCUUAAUUGACUUGGUAACGCAGCUAACGCGUGAAGUAGACCGCCUGGGGAGUACGGUCGCAAGAUUAAAACUCAAAGGAAUUGACGGGGACCCGCACAAGCGGUGGAUGAUGUGGAUUAAUUCGAUGCAACGCGAAAAACCUUACCUACCCUUGACAUGUCUGGAAUCCUUGAGAGAUCAGGGAGUGCUCGAAAGAGAAUCAGAACACAGGUGCUGCAUGGCUGUCGUCAGCUCGUGUCGUGAGAUGUUGGGUUAAGUCCCGCAACGAGCGCAACCCUUGUCAUUAGUUGCUACGAAAGGGCACUCUAAUGAGACUGCCGGUGACAAACCGGAGGAAGGUGGGGAUGACGUCAAGUCCUCAUGGCCCUUAUGGGUAGGGCUUCACACGUCAUACAAUGGUACAUACAGAGGGCCGCCAACCCGCGAGGGGGAGCUAAUCCCAGAAAGUGUAUCGUAGUCCGGAUUGUAGUCUGCAACUCGACUACAUGAAGUUGGAAUCGCUAGUAAUCGCGGAUCAGCAUGUCGCGGUGAAUACGUUCCCGGGUCUUGUACACACCGCCCGUCACACCAUGGGAGCGGGUUUCACCAGAAGUGGGUAGCCUAACCGCAAGGAGGGCGCUCACCACGGUGGGAUUCGUGACUGGGGUGAAGUCGUAACAAGGUA
rnacentral:rRNA from 1 species